CCCAACAGCAUGUCUUUACAGCAGCAUGGCUAACACCAACAACGGAAGCUAAAGUUACCCACAAUCCAUCAGGUGCAUCUUACACUACGUACUGUAGC